UACAGAGGUCCCAAGCGUUGUUCGGAUUCACUGGGCGUAAAGGGUGCGUAGGCGGUCGGGUAAGUCUGAUGUGAAAUCUCACAGCUUAACUGUGAAACUGCAUUGGAUACUAUUCGGCUUGAGAGUUGGAGGGGGGACUGGAAUUCUUGGUGUAGCAGUGAAAUGCGUAGAUAUCGGGAGGAACACCUGUGGCGAAAGCGGCUCACUGGACCACAACUGACGCUGAGGCGCGAAAGCUAGGGGAGCAAACAGG
rnacentral:rRNA from 1 species